CUUAACAUGUUCUUUUAUUUUAAACUAAGUGUCAACCUAUUUCAGACCCCACCCAGCCCCCCGCUCGCCACCUAAAAGACUAGAAAAUUCUUUGGACCCUCAAAAUUUGUGCACCGGUGAUCGCCCCUGCCUCGUCUUAGGGAGGACGACUUGACCUGUUUGGGACUAGGACUUGACAGUCAUUAAAAAAAAAAUCUUUGAUAAUUCUUAUGAAGGUCGAGGAGGAACUGGUAGAACAGAACAUGAAAACAGGGGGAGGGAAGAAGAAAGAGGGUGAAAGACGUGGGGGGCGGAGAAGAUGUGGCAGAGGAGGAGGAAAGGCAGAAUUCAGGGCUUCUCUGCAGAGGGGGUAAUUCUAGGUUAUAAAAGUCCCCGAUCAGAGAUGCCUACAUGUCAUAUAAUGUGACCCUUGGGGCCACUUGUCCCCAAUAACCUUGGUCCUUCUAUUGUCCAACUACAUGUGUUAUUCAUCAAGUUUCAAGAAAUAAAAAAUGAAAAAAGAACGAAGCCCCUUGUACCUCUCUCGUGUACCGGCCCUAUUGAGAGUCAUGCUUAGUCUUCUCCGUUUGAAAAUUUGGGAACAAACACAAAAUCAUGAUGUAUAAAUCAGAAAAGAGAAGGGAAGUUGGGAGAGUACAGGGAAACAAAAUUCUUCCUGCUCUUGAAAAUUCCCUGGCCAGUUAAUGAGGUCACCAGGCGCAAAAAGCUGUAUGUACUGUCUGGUUAGAAAAGACCGGGUGGUUUCAUUUCUGGGACCUCCUCUUCCUUCAGGGUUCCUGUAUUCGGAGAGCAGGGGUUCACACCAGCGUCGGGUUGCCCAUAACUUGAUUCAGAAACCCGCUGCUGCCUGGUAGUUCCCGUAACCGCACGGGAAGAGGUGGGCAUUUCUGCGUACCCACUAGCAAAGAGCUACUCGCUCUUGCCAGGGGUGAGUCCCACCGCGGCUGCAGCCGUCUCCAAUUUCGGCGAACGACAGAACGAAAGAAUAUUACGGAAGAAAAAGAGCUAUUUGAAGAUGCGCCACUGAGAGCCCAGGAAAGUGGGGGAAAGGAGGGACAGGAGAAGGAAACGGCCAGCCUGUCUCCAGAAACCCGAGAAAGUGAACUCUACCUACCACCCAACCCGAUCCGCUUCUCCCCCGCCCCCACCCCAGCGGUAAUCUUCCUUCCUCCCCCUGCUAGGUGUAGAGUUUAGAUUUUUAAAAAGACGUUUAGAACUGCCUGGAAAUCCGGAAUGGCGGGGUGGGGGGGGUGAGGCAUCCGGGAGGGGGACUUGAGGGCCCUGGCUUCCGUGGGGGCUAGACAGCUUCAGCUUCCAAAGUUCUCUGGGGUCUAGACGCCCAGGAGUUCCCCGCGGGCUGCAAAUCCAGCUUCCGCCUAGAAGAACGCGGGCAUCUAGGCUGCCCCGGGAAGAUCGCAGGCCCUUUUGCUUUUGAAUUGAGUGGUCCUGGCGGAAAACCAGCGUGCCUUGGGCUUGUCCGCCGAAUCGGGCCAUACCUCGGUGCACUACCCCACAAGAAAUUUACUAAGUAGGAAGCCAGGAUCAGGAGGGGGAGGGUUUGGGCAUAGGUGGGGGGCGUGCGCGCGCGCGCACGAGUACUUUUGUGUUGGGGGUGGGGGACACACUUCACACUCCCAAACCCAUUCUUGACCUUGCGCGGAAAUCAGCCUCCUACUUUUUAACGAAGUUUACCCCCCCACCACCAGCCACCUCGGGGAGCGCCUGAAGCAUCCCUCCAGAGGCCCCACAAAAGUGGCAUUAAUAUACCGCUCCGAUUUUCGAAGGUUUAUUUCACGUCAAAACUGUAAAAGUUCUUGGGAGAAUUUACAGACAAAACAUCUGGUUCGUUAAAA
rnacentral:lncRNA from 1 species